AUUGAACGCUGGCGGCAGGCCUAACACAUGCAAGUCGAACGAGUGGCGGACGGGUGAGUAAUGUCUGGGAAACUGCCUGAUGGAGGGGGAUAACUACUGGAAACGUUAGCUAAUACCUCAUACCAUCGGAUGUGCCCAGAUGGGCUUAGCUAGUGGGUGGGGUAACGACUCACCUAGGCGACGAUCCCUAGCUGGUCUGAGAGGAUGACCAGCAACACUGGAACUGAGACACGGUCCAGACUCCUACGGGAGGCAGCAGUGGGGAAUAUUGCACAAUGGGCGCAAGCCUGAUGCAGCCAUGCCGCGUGUAUGAAGAAGGCCUUCGGGUUGUAAAGUACUUUCAGCGGGGAGGCAUUACCAACAGAAUAAGCACCGGCUAACUGCGUGCCAGCAGCCGCGGUAAUAC
rnacentral:rRNA from 1 species